GUGGGGAAUCUUCCGCAAUGGGCGAAAGCCUGACGGAGCAACGCCGCGUGAGUGAAGAAGGCCUUCGGGUUGUAAACCUCUGUCCUUGGUGACGAAGAAAGUGACGGUAGCCAAGGAGGAAGCCCCGGCUAACUACGUGCCAGCAGCCGCGGUAAUACGUAGGGGGCGAGCGUUGUCCGGAAUUACUGGGCGUAAAGGGUGCGUAGGUGGCCUUUUAAGUUGGAUGGGAAAUACCCGGGCUUAACUUGGGGGGUGCAUCUAAUACUGGGAGGCUAGAGUGCAGGAGAGGGAAGCGGAAUUCCUAGUGUAGCGGUGAAAUGCGUAGAUAUUAGGAGGAACACCAGUGGCGAAGGCGGCUUUCUGGACUGUAACUGACACUGAGGCACGAAAGCGUGGGGAGCAAACAGGAUUAGAUACCCGAGUAGUCC
rnacentral:rRNA from 1 species